AGGUUGUUCCUAUCACAAAAUGUUCCAUACAAAAUGAAACAGAUAGACUUUGAAACAAUGGAAUCGAUUAUAUACACAUUGAUUUGUUUGUUGGCUAUUUUGGAUUCAAUACAAUGAACAAAACACCCUGAAUUUUUCAAAGAAAUAGUUUCCUAGAGUACAAUAUUAAUUUUGAUGCUCCACAAUAUCAGCUGAAUUUAAAAAUUUAAUCGGAUUAGGCUUUCGUUGCCUAAGGCUCACAUAAAAGAAGCAUUAUUUUAAUUUACAAAUUCAAGAAGUUCAAGUUGCCAGAUAUAUACAUUAUAUUGAUUUAAAGGCCAAACCAUGAAGAAAGACCUUAACCAUGAUGCACAAUUGAUCAGGAGGCCAAACGCUGAGCAAUGAAAAUUAUCGUUUAAAAAUUAUCGUUUAAAAAUUAAGACACAGGAAGAAUUAAUUUUUUGACGGACGUUUAAUUUUUUUGCAACAAAAAUAAAGUCUUUAUAAAUUUUGGUUAUA